UGUGGUUGUGUGUGUGUGUGUGUGUGUGUGUGUAUACACAUUUGCCCACAUAACCACACACACACACACAAUCACAGACCCACACA